CAGUCAUAGCGCUGUGUGUCCAACUCUUUACAAACAUCGACCUGUUUCAAUUCAAGAGCAAAAACAUCAUGGAAGAAAGAGAGCUACUAACCAAGAUUACUAACCUGGCAGAAGAAAGAGAGCAGCUACUAACAAAUGGCGCUUUUCCACUGCAUGGGAUGGCUCGGUACGGCUCGCUUAAAUAGUACCACCUCGGUUGAGAUUCCAAGCAUGCUGUACCGAUACUAAAUGUGACGUGUAAACACUGCAGAUCACUGAUUGGUCAGAGAGAAUCAUCACUAUCACCGUCAUUGGAUUUGAAACACAAGACAAACCUGCUAGAUUAAAUAGUCAGUAACAGACACCACAGUAUCAUUUGUUCACGCGACUUUUUUUUUAAACCACUUUGCUUUAAACGACCGUCACACGCAACUUGAAAAAAGAAAUGGCUGUAUUGUGGUCAGUAGACGAGGUAGAGGAGGUGCAGACUUGUUGGUAGACGAGGAGCGCAUCCAUGGCAGUAGAGGCGGCUUAAUUAUACGAUCAGGCUAUAAUAUGGAAAAACAAACCGAAAGUAAAGCGCUCCGAGCCGUGCCAAACCGAACAGAGCCGAGACAAGUCGUUCCACACAGUGGAAAAGCGCCAAAAGAUUACUAACCUUACAGGAGAGACAAGCUACUCAGCAAGAACACAAACUUGACAAAUCAAAGGGAUGGAUUAUUAUCCAAGAAUGAUAACCUCACUAAACAAAUAGACCAGUUAAAUCAAGAGAGAAAUAAACUGGGGAAGACACUCAAAGAAACAGGUAAUCUUGAUAUUUAGUGUUUUAUCAAAGACACAUUGUUCUACAAUUCAGAUUGUAGCAAGAAGUUUAAAUAAUAUUACUAUCCAAGGGUUAACUUACAAGAAGAAGGUGAAAACAACAACUCUAAUCUGUAUCCUUCACCAAAACAUUUUUUAUAUAAGCAGACAGGAUAUGACUGCUCAGUGCGGUCACAGUGGUGUAGGUAAAGUUCAGCUUCUAAAAGCAUCAGUACACAGCAGCGUCCACACGAGCAACUUACACAAUGGACUCCAAAAGACCGAAAACCUUCAAGAGGACUCGCGUCAAUAGUAGCACUGAGAUACGAGAACUGGACAGAGAAGAUGGUGAGGAGAUGAUCACUGAUGCCAACAGAGACACAACGAACCGACAUGAUGUCAGGACAGAAACAGAGAACUCAGACACCCCAACCCAUCGAACACUUCAACACUCAGGAAGUGUUUGUGUGAAGAUCAGAAGCUCCAGAGCAGCUGCAGUGUGUUUGGUGCUGCUGUGUGUUCUUCUGCUGACUGCAGUCAUAGUGCUGGCCAUCAAGCUAGUAAAACGAUUGAUGAGUUUUACAUCAAGUACAAAGACAUCACAGAAGAGAUAAAUGGGUUAAAUAACAGAAAAUUAAUCUUGGAAAAGAAUAAUACAAAUUUAUCAAAUGAUAAUAGAACCCUGAUUACACAAAAAAGGACAUUACAGAGCGAGAUGAAAGAACUGUGGCAACAGAUACGUAAAAUGGAUGGAUGGAAGUGCUAUCAAUCUAGUCUUUACUUCAUCUCCACUGAGAAGAAGAACUGGACUGAGAGCAGAAGAUACUGUACAGAGAGAGGAACAGAUCUGAUCAUCAUAAACAACAGAAAGGAACAAG